rnacentral:rRNA from 3 species
GGAAACCCUGACGCAGCGACGCCGCGUGGAUGAUGAAGGCCCUUGGGUCGUAAAAUCCUGUCAGUUGGGAAGAAAUGCAUAUUGGCUAAUACCCAUUAUGUUUGACGGUACCAGCAAAGGAAGCACCGGCUAACUCCGUGCCAGCAGCCGCGGUAAUACGGAGGGUGCAAGCGUUGUUCGGAAUUACUGGGCGUAAAGCGCACGUAGGUGGUCUAUUAAGUCAGAUGUGAAAGUCCCUGGCUCAACUGGGGAAGUGCAUAUGAAACUGGUAGACUUGAGUACUGGAGGGGGAAGUGGAAUUCCCGGUGUAGAGGUGAAAUUCGUAGAUAUCGGGAGGAAUACCGGUGGCGAAGGCGACUUCCUGGCCAGAUACUGACACUGAGGUGCGAAAGCGUGGGUAGCAAACAGGAUUAGAUACCCUGGUAGUCC